rnacentral:rRNA from 1 species
UUAGCCGUAAACGAUGGAUACUAGGCGUUGUGAGUAUCGACCCUCACAGUGUCGUAGCUAACGCGUUAAGUAUCCCGCCUGGGGAGUACGCGCGCAAGCGUGAAACUCAAAGGAAUUGACGGGGGCCCGCACAAGCGGUGGAGUAUGUGGUUUAAUUCGAUGCAACGCGAAGAACCUUACCAGGACUUGACAUGUCGCGAAUCUCAGGGAAACUUGAGAGUGCCUUCGGGAGCGCGAACACAGGUGGUGC